GAUGAACGCUGGCGGCUUGCCUAAUACAUGCAAGUCGAGCGAACAGACGAGUAUCUCUCUCCUCUUACGUUUGCGGCGGUCGGGUGAGUAACACGAAGAUAACCUUCCUAUAAGACUGGCAUAACUAUGGGAAACCGGAGCUAAUACCGGUUCAUAUAUUGAACCGCAGGGUUCAUCAGUGAUAGACGGCUUUGCUGUCACUUAUAGAUGGAUCCGCGCCGCAUUAGCUAGUUGGUAAGGUAACGGCUUACCAAGGCAACGAUGCGUAGCCGACCUGAGAGGGUGAUCGGCCACACUGGAACUGAGACACGGUCCAGACUCCUACGGGAGGCAGCAGUAGGGAAUCUUGCGCAAUGGGCGAGAGCCUGACGGAGCAACGCCGCGUGAGUGAUGAAGGUCUUCGGAUCGUAAAUCUCUGUUAUUUGGGAAGAACAAAUGUGUAAGUAACUGUGCACGUCUUGACGGUACCUAAUCAAAAAGCCCCGGCUAACUACGUG
rnacentral:rRNA from 1 species